rnacentral:lncRNA from 1 species
AAAGGUCUAUGAUCUACCUGCACCACUUCUGCUUCACCCUUGUCAUUCCAGAAAAUCAGGCAUUGAUGGAGUGAUGAAGGUAUGUAGCGACUUCCGUGUAUCCAAUCCCUUCCUAAUAACACAUUGUAACUAGUAGGACCAUCUAUUAUGAAGAAGACUGUGGUCCUAGUAGUUGUCCCUACAGUUAUGUCCAAUGGCAUAACCCCUUUGGCUGAAGUUGCUCCUCCAUUGAAACUUGUAAG